rnacentral:rRNA from 1 species
AUACGUAGGGGGCGAGCGUUGUCCGGAAUGAUUGGGCGUAAAGGGCGCGUAGGCGGCGCGGUAAGUCUGGAGUGAAAGUCCUGCUUUCAAGGUGGGAAUUGCUUUGGAUACUGCCGCGCUUGAGUGCAGGAGAGGUUAUCGGAAUUCCCGGUGUAGCGGUGAAAUGAGUAGAGAUCGGGAGGAACACCAGUGGCGAAGGCGGGUAACUGGACUGCAACUGACGCUGAGGCGCGAAAGUGUGGGGAGCAAACAGGAUUAGAUACCCUGGUAGUCCACACUGUAAACGAUGAAUGCUAGGUGUAAGAGGUAUCGACCCCUUUUGUGCCGGAGUCAACACAAUAAGCAUUCCGCCUGGGGAGUACGGCCGCAAGGUUGAAACUCAAAGGAAUUGACGGGG